AAUCAGGCAUCGUAUUAUUAUUUGUGGUGACUUUAAUUUUAACAACAGCUAUUGGCUACAUUAUGAUCCUGAAUAUCAUUUCCUUCUUGAUUACCAACGGGAGUUCUUAAAUGACAUAUAUGUGUCACAAUUUGCACCAAGUUCAGUUUCCAACACAUCAGCUGAAUUUUCUGGACCUAUUGUUUACUUCGGUUGUCGAUUGUUCCGCUAUAAUCACGUCUGGAUUUGCCUCUGAUCAUCUUCCAAUUUUGUAUACAUUUAAGUUUUCUCUUAAGUUAAAUAAUUCCCCUCAAUUGUUUAUUUAUUCUGAUUGGAAAAA
rnacentral:lncRNA from 1 species